UACGUAGGGGGCAAGCGUUGUCCGGAUUUAUUGGGCGUAAAGAGCGUGUAGGCGGCCAGGUAGGUCAGCUGUGAAAACUCGAGGCUCAACCUCGAGAUGUCGGCUGAAACCAUCUGGCUAGAGUCCGGAAGAGGAGAAUGGAAUUCCUGGUGUAGCGGUGAAAUGCGCAGAUAUCAGGAAGAACACCUAUGGCGAAGGCAGCACUCUGGGACGGUACUGACGCUGAGACGCGAAAGCGUGGGGAGCGAACAGG
rnacentral:rRNA from 1 species